rnacentral:rRNA from 1 species
GAUCAUGGCUCAGAUUGAACGCUGGCGGCAUGCUUUACACAUGCAAGUCGAACGGCAGCGCGGGCUUCGGCCUGGCGGCGAGUGGCGAACGGGUGAGUAAUAUAUCGGAACGUACCCAAGAGUGGGGGAUAACGUAGCGAAAGUUACGCUAAUACCGCAUACGAUCUAAGGAUGAAAGCAGGGGAUCGCAAGACCUUGUGCUCCUGGAGCGGCCGAUAUCUGAUUAGCUAGUUGGUGGGGUAAAGGCCCACCAAGGCAACGAUCAGUAGCUGGUCUGAGAGGACGACCAGCCACACUGGAACUGAGACACGGUCCAGACUCCUACGGGAGGCAGCAGUGGGGAAUUUUGGACAAUGGGGGCAACCCUGAUCCAGCAAUGCCGCGUGAGUGAAGAAGGCCUUCGGGUUGUAAAGCUCUUUUGUCAGGGAAGAAAAGGCUGUGGCUAAUAUCCACAGCUGCUGACGGUACCUGAAGAAUAAGCACCGGCUAACUACGUG